rnacentral:lncRNA from 1 species
CAAGAGAAUGAUAAAAACCUAAUAACAACAUGAUUAGCACAAUUCAAAUUCAAGUCACACUUAAAACGGUGAACAUCCUGGCCAUAAUAUGAAUUGUAAUUUUUUUGUUCCAACUAACUAUCUCAGCAUUCAUUUAAUCAAAAGGCAAAAUGCCAAAUCAAAACCUACUUUUAAGAAAGGAAUUAGUGAGGUGAGAUUGGGGCAAGUGGUCUACAAAGCAACUAAGCAUUACAAGGCCAAAUGUAACUUAAAAAAACUAAGCACAUACAUUUUAGCCUAUUUUCCCCCAUACUUGAAAACUACAAGGUUUCUUCCUAUACAUACUUACUUUGCAAAAUUUAUCACCAUAAUACACUUAUACAAGUAGUAUAAGCUUCGUUCCGUAUGAUGCCAAAGCAUUCGUCACAUAACCGAACAUGCAUUCGGGUUUUCAUCGCUGAAAACCUCGAAAGAAUCGGAUGGUUGUGACGAAUACGAUGAAUACAUGUCGAAAGAGGGGUGUUCAGGCAUGUAUCCCGGGUGCAUAUGUCACGGACUUAGAGUUUUCCCACGCGAUCCGUGCGGCCUUAGGCAGUUUCUCUGCUCAAAACGCCUAAGUCAGCCUAACUUGUAACAAAAAAAGAUUCAGCAGCAAAAACGCCCAAGUCAACUUCACUCGCAACAAUAAAGGAUUCAAUAGAAUUCCCUUAAGAUUUUCACGAAGAACAACAGAAGAACGAAGUAAGAACGAGCCUUGAAAUAUGAACAAAAGCAAGAACACUUGAGAGAAAAGUUUGAGUGAAUACUCUCAAAAUUCUUAUUAAUAACUCAAUGAAUAUACAAUGAGCAAAGAGGUCUCUAUUUAUAGUUGAGCCUCACAGUAUAUCAAUAGCUAUAAUUAAAAGCUGAAUACAAUUAGAACUCUAAGCUUACAUAGCCAGCUAUAUACAAAUAGAACUCUAAGAUUCCAUAAUUAUAUCUUCUAGAACACUUCCCAUUUCUAUCAGGCUCUUGAGAUGGGCUUUUAAUCUCUCAAAUCACCGGGCCAGUUUGGUUGGGCCAGUUUGGUUGGGCUAAAUGACCUCCCUCGAACACGAUGGAUCGCACCAGUUUGUCAUGGUUGCGAGCACCGACGCGCAACCCAUGACAUUCUCCCCCACUUGUUCUAGCGACGCCUUCGUCGCAUCCUCCUUAUGGAACUGGUCAAUCUUUCCUUGGAACUGCCACAAUGCCUCAGCAGGUUCCCAACUUGCUUCGCUAUCAGGAAGUCCCUUCUAUCGAACUAAGUACUCAUGCUGUGGUCGGUGGUACUUUCGUCUAAUUACCCGAUCUGCCUCAAUAUUUUCUACUUCACGAUCAUACGAGACUUUUACCCCCAUCGGUGCUCGUUCGGACUUGCCUCGAUUCGGAUCUUCUUGAUCCUCAUGGAAUGGCUUAAGCAUGCUUACAUGGAAGACUGGGUGUACUUUAAGUUUUGGUGGCAACUCCAGCUUGUAGGCCACCUUGCCCACUCUCUUCACAACUUUAAACGGCCCUUCAUACCUUCGCACAAGACCCUUGUGCAAACCAGUAUAUCGUAAAAUCAAGUGUAGUUUAGCAAGGACUGAGUCACCCACUUGAAAUUGUACAUCCCUUCGGUUCUGAUCGGCCCACUUCUUGCUACGCUUACUUGCCUUGUGUAAACAAGCUCUAGCCAAGUCAUUCUUCUCUUGCCAAUCUUUUGCGAAUCUAUAGGCUGCUGGAUUUGGUCCUGUGUAAUGGGUCACAACAGAGUUGGGUGUGAGUGGCUGUUGACCCGUCACUAUUUCAAAUGGACUUUGAUUCGUGGUCCCACUUUGCUGCAAAUUAUAUGAAAAUUGGGCCACAUCCAGCAACUUUGGCCAAUCCCUUUGUAUGGCACUCACAUAGUGCCGAAGAUACGUCUCCAACAGUGCAUUUACUCGUUCAGUUUCCCCAUCGGUUUGUGGAUGCAUGCUCGUGGAGAAGUUCAAAUCUGAGCCCAUUGACUUGAACAACUCUGUCCAGAACCGACCAGUAAAUCGACCAUCUCGAUCGCUGAUAAUAGAUAGUGGCACUCCCCAAUAUUUCACCACGUGUCUAAGGAAUAACCGAGCUGCUUCCUCAGCAGGGCACUCUUUGGUCGCCGGAAUAAAAGUCGCAUACUUUGAAAACCUGUCCACCACAACAAGAAUACUAGCAAACCCGUCAGACUUAGGCAAACCAAUAAUAAAAUCCAUGGAUAAACUCUCCCAUGGCCUUUCUGGGACUGGCAGGGGUUGAAGCAAGCAGGCUGGAGUCUUUAACUCAACCUUGUCUUGUUGGCACACUAGACAAGUUUUCACAUAGGUUUCCACAUCAGCACCCAUGUGAGGCCAAUAAUAGCGAUCCUCCAAAAGGGCCAAAGUGCGAUACAUCCCUGGAUGGCCUGCCCAUUUCGAGUCAUGACAUUCCUUCAUGACUUCCUUACGGAGUUUCCCAUAAUGGGGCACAUAGAGGCGGUGUCCAUGAGUGUAUACUAGCUCCCCAUCAAGCCAAAAUCUUCUUGUUUUUCCCUCCUUGGCAAGCUCAAUCAAAUUUUUGGCCGUAGGAUCAUGGGACAAUCCCUCUCGAAUGCGUUCCAACAAAGAGCCAUCAGGUUGACUGAUUGCUGCGAAUUCCAUCUUUCGACUAAGUGCAUCAGCAACAUUGUUGGCACUUCCUGGUUUAUAUUCCAUUGUAAAAUCAAACUCUGCUAGUAAAACCUGCCAACGAGCCUGCUUGGGAGACAACUUUUUCUGGGUUAGAAAGUAACUAUUGGCAACAUUGUCGGUAAGGACCACGAACCUGGAACCCAAUAAAUAAUGUCUCCAUGUGUGCAAGCAGUGUACUACCGCAGUCAUCUCUUUCUCUUGGACCGUAUAUCUACGUUCCGUCUCGUUAAGCUUUCGACUCUCGAAAGCAAUUGGGUGUCCAUCUUGCAUCAGUACUCCCCCAAUAGCAUAAUCUGAUGCAUCUGUACGUACCUCGUAAGGCUUCGUAAAAUCCGGCAAGACAAGUACGGGCUCCCUCGUCAUUUCUUGCUUCAAUUGGUUGAAGGUCUUCUCACAUUCUGGAUUCCAAUCCCAUACCUUCCCCUUCUUCAACAUGUCCGUCAAGGGAGUGGUAAUUUUGGAGUAGCCUUCGACAAAGCGGCGAUAGUAAUUUGCCAAUCCAAGGAAAGAUCUCAACUCUGUUACCUUGGUUGGAGGCUCCCACUCUGAAAUGGCUCGAAUCUUAUUUUUAUCCAUUCGGAUCUUACCGCCUCCCACAAUGUGGCCUAAGAAUGACACCUCUUGUUGGGCAAAUGAACAUUUCUCCUCCUUGACGAACAGCAGCUCAUUUUCCCUCAAAGUCUGGAACACCUCCCUCAAGUGUCUUACGUGCUCUUCAAGCGACUUGCUAUAGACCACAAUAUCGUCAAGGUAAACAACCACAAAACGAUCAAGAAAUGGUUGAAGUACCUUAUUCAUUAGGGUGCAGAAUGUAGCUAGAGCAUUCGUGAGUCCAAAAGGCAUCACAAGGAACUCAUACGAACCGUACCGUGUCACACAAGCUGUCUUUGGUUCGUCCCCCUCGACUAUCCGAACUUGAUGAUACCCCGAUCUCAAAUCUAACUUGGUAAACCAUCUUACACCACCAAGCUGGUCGAACAAAUCUGCGAUAAGAGGAAUAGGAUACCUAUUCUUCACGGUGAUCUUGUUUAGAGCUCGAUAAUCGAUGCACAUUCUUAAGGACCCAUCGUGUUUCUUUUGGAACAACACUGGCGCACCAUAUGGGGAUUUAGAUGGUCUAAUGAAUCCCGCAUCCAAAAGUUCCUUCAAUUGUUUCCGCAACUCUUCUAAUUCUGGUGGAGACAUACGAUAGGGGGCCCUUGCUGGCGGCACCACAUUGGAUACUAACUCGAUUUUGUGGUCCACCUCCCUCUUGGGUGGCAAACUUUUUGGCAACUGAGCAGGCAUUUCAUCUCGAAAUAAUUGUAGCAAUUGUCCCACUUCUUUCGGGGUCUUACUAACAAACUCAGCGGUCUCUUCGAUCUUCAAGGUGGCUAAAUAUGAGACUUCAUUUCUCCGUACACCUUUAGCAAACUGAAUUGCUGAUAGUGUUUUUCCCUCAAAGCUUCUCUUCCUUGUCACUUUCACCAUGCAUUGAUGUUUCGCAUCUGAAAUCACCAUGUAAUUGCUCGAAGGGGCAAUAAGAGCUUUAACCUGAUCAAGGAAGCUUAGUCCCACCACAAAAUCAUAGUCAUCAAGUGGUAUUACCUUAAUGGAUACCUUCCCUGACCAAUUGCCGAGUUGAAGAUCCACUCCCUUUGCAACCCCCUUGAUUGGAAUACUUUCCGAGUUCACUGUUUUGAUCCGACCCCCUUCAUUAUCUAUCUUGAGGCCUAGUUUACAAGCAGCCUCCUCAGACAUGAAUAAAUCAGAAGCGCCUGUGUCGACGAGCGCAUUCAAUUUUCUGCCGGCCACAAUGAUGUCUACAAACAUCAAACCAUGGCUCAUUCUAUCUUCGACACCCCCUAAUAUCGAUCCAAGGUUGUUAUCCUCCACAUCAGACUCCCCCUUUGCUUCCAUAGCCUUGAGAGCGGCCUUCUUUGGACAGUCCUUGAUCAUAUGUGGACUCUCACAGUGGAAGCACCUUAUAGGCCCACUCUUUCUCUUGUCCCAAGGUUUCUUACCAUCGCCGUUCCUAGUGGGCCUUUCUUUAUCUCCCCCACUAUUACCUUUUAAUCUGGGUUUAGAAGAAUUGGAAUUGUCUUUCCUCCCACCAAAUUCAGCAAGUGAUUCUGCUACUGACAUAGCCUUGGUGAGCUCUUGAACUCCUCGGCGCUGCAACUCUUGCUUCGCCCACGGUUUUAAUCCGUCCAUAAAGGAAAAGAAUGCCUCUUUCUCCCCCAUAUCUUAUAUUUAGAGCAUAAGCUCGCUAAACUCCUGUACAUACUCCCUCACAGUGCCUUGUUGCGCAAGCCGACGCAACCUUGCCCGAGCCUCAUCCUCGGCAUACUCUGGGUAAAACUGUGCUUUGAACUCACAUCGAAACUCCUCCCAUGUUUCGAUUUCAGACCCACCACGUCUCACAUCAGUGGACCUACGACGCCACCACAACAAAGCAACGUCAGAUAAAUACAUCGCAGCAGUAGUUACCUUAGUGACAUCCUCCAUGAUGCCUUUGGCACAGAAGUAUUGCUCGAUUCCCCACAAAAAGUUGUCCACAUCUCUUGCGGACCUUGUUCCCUUAAACUCUUUUGGCUUGGGAACAUCAAUAUUGGGCUUGGGUGGCAGCCGCUAACCCACCAUUGCCCAAGGCAACCUUGUAGAUUGUGAGUUCACCCUUGAGCUCCGCAAUCUCUCCCUUCAAGGCCACCACCAUAGCCUCAAUGGUAUCAUCUCUACCAGUCAACUGUUUCAUAUUAUCCGUCACAUACUCUUUAAGCUGCUCCUGCAUGGACUGCAGUCCAUCAUGGAGCCUAUCAUCAACGUCUUCAACCCUCUCCUUGAUAUCCCCCAUUGAACUCUCGAGAGUGACGACGCGAUCCUCUAAAGCUGACAAUAUGUCCCUUGAGCGACUGGCUUUCCUAGCCCUCCCAUGGGUCUCCAUUCCCUCAACUUCUUUUGACAUCUUUCAACGGUGGCUUCGAACCUUAGCUCGGAUACCAACUGUCACGGACUUAGAGUUUUCCCACGCGAUCCGUGCGGCCUUAGGCAGUUUCUCUGCUCAAAAUGCCUAAGUCAGCCUAACUUGUAACAAAAAAAGAUUCAGCAGCAAAAACGCCCAAGUCAACUUCACUCGCAACAAUAAAGGAUUCAAUAGAAUUCCCUUAAGAUUUUCACGAAGAACAACAGAAGAACGAAGUAAGAACGAGCCUUGAAAUAUGAACAAAAGCAAGAACACUUGAGAGAAAAGUUUGAGUGAAUACUCUCAAAAUUCUUAUUAAUAACUCAAUGAAUAUACAAUGAGCAAAGAGGUCUCUAUUUAUAGUUGAGCCUCACAGUAUAUCAAUAGCUAUAAUUAAAAGCUGAAUACAAUUAGAACUCUAAGCUUACAUAGCCAGCUAUAUACAAAUAGAACUCUAAGAUUCCAUAAUUAUAUCUUCUAGAACACUUCCCAUUUCUAUCAGGCUCUUGAGAUGGGCUUUUAAUCUCUCAAAUCACCGGGCCAGUUUGGUUGGGCCAGUUUGGUUGGGCUAAAUGACCUCCCUCGAACACGAUGGAUCGCACCAGUUUGUCAUGGUUGCGAGCACCGACGCGCAACCCAUGACACAUAUACAUACAUGAAUACGGUCGUGGUGAGGUGUAAUACAAUUCGCUAUGGCAACUACCAGGAUAAGCUGUGUUGUAUCUAGUAACAUACACCGGUGGUGGUGCAUGGUAAUACGUUGGGUAUUCAUCCAUGUGGUGAUGCCGUGGAG